AUUGAACGCUGGCGGCAGGCCUAACACAUGCAAGUCGAACGAGUGGCGGACGGGUGAGUAAUGUCUGGGAAACUGCCUGAUGGAGGGGGAUAACUACUGGAAACGGUAGCUAAUACCGCAUACCAUCAGAUGUGCCCAGAUGGGAUUAGCUAGUUGGUGGGGUAACGGCUCACCAAGGCGACGAUCCCUAGCUGGUCCGAGAGGAUGACCAGCCACACUGAAACUGAGACACGGUCCAGAAUCCUACGGGAGGCAGCAGUGGGGAAUAUUGCGCAAUGGGCGCAAGCCUGAUGCAGCCAUGACGAGUGUAUGAAGAAGGCCUUCGGGUUGUACAGUACUUUCAGCGGGGAGGCGUUACUCGCAGAAGAAGCACCGGCUAGCUCCGUGCCAGCAGCCGCGGUAGUUC
rnacentral:rRNA from 1 species